rnacentral:rRNA from 1 species
UACGUAGGGGGCAAGCGUUGUCCGGAAUCAUUGGGCGUAAAGCGCGUGUAGGCGGUCCGGUAAGUCCGCUGUGAAAGUCGGGGGCUCAACCCUCGGAUGCCGGUGGAUACUGUCGGGCUUGAGUACGGAAGAGGCGAGUGGAAUUCCUGGUGUAGCGGUGAAAUGCGCAGAUAUCAGGAGGAACACCAAUGGCGAAGGCAGCUCGCUGGGACGGUACUGACGCUGAGGAGCGAAAGCGUGGGGAGCGAACAGG